ACGGGUGAGUAACGCGUGGGAAUCUACCUUGUGGUACGGAACAACCAAGGGAAACUUUGGCUAAUACCGUAUGAGCCCUUCGGGGGAAAGAUUUAUCGCCAUAAGAUGAGCCCGCGUAGGAUUAGCUAGUUGGUGAGGUAAUGGCUCACCAAGGCGACGAUCCUUAGCUGGUCUGAGAGGAUGACCAGCCACACUGGGACUGAGACACGGCCCAGACUCCUACGGGAGGCAGCAGUGGGGAAUAUUGGACAAUGGGCGCAAGCCUGAUCCAGCCAUGCCGCGUGUGUGAUGAAGGCCUUAGGGUUGUAAAGCACUUUCGCCGAUGAAGAUAAUGACUGUAGUCGGAGAAGAAGCCCCGGCUAACUUCGUGCCAGCAGCCGCGGUAAUACGAAGGGGGCUAGCGUUGUUCGGAAUUACUGGGCGUAAAGCGUACGUAGGCGGAUUGUUAAGUGAGGGGUGAAAUCCCGAGGCUCAACCUCGGAACUGCCUUUCAUACUGGCAAUCUUGAGUCCGGGAGAGGUGAGUGGAACUCCUAGUGUAGAGGUGAAAUUCGUAGA
rnacentral:rRNA from 1 species